rnacentral:rRNA from 1 species
UACGUAGGCAGCAAGCGUUGUUCGGAGUUACUGGGCGUAAAGAGUGCGUAGGCGGUGUCGUAAGUUUGGCGUGAAAUCUCCCGGCUUAACUGGGAGGGUGCGCCGAAAACUGCGGUGCUGGAGUGUGGGAAAGGCAAGCGGAAUUCCUGGUGUAGCGGUGAAAUGCGUAGAUAUCAGGAGGAACACCGGCGGUGUAGGCGGCUUGCUAGACCAUAACUGACGCUGAGGCACGAAGGCGUGGGUAGCAAACAGG